ACGGCCAAACGGGCAGCACACGCCGAGCACACGCCGUGGAUGCGUCGGCCGUCACCACACGGCACGCGCAGCGACGCGCAGACACGAACCAGACACGCGAGACACGCGAGACACGCGAGUGUGCCGCCCCGACGGUGUAGUGGUUCCUGUGGUUGAAACGCGCCGCGACGCGCCGCGGAUCGGCUGCUGUUGUUGGUGCUGCUGCUGUUGGGGGUUGUGAUUGGUGUUGUUGUUGGCGGUGGCAGUGUUGUGUCAGUGGCAGUGAAACUGUGCGGCGGAAAGUGACGUGUCUGUGAUGCACCGCCGAGUGACGUGAUAGUGAACGUGGCAAGAGAAGUGUCCGCGUACACGGCCAGUGCAGCGAGGUGUUGUGGACGAAUGCAGGCGUCUCCCUGCUCAUCGGCCUUGGACUUCCCUGGACAGGCGCGGCAGGCGGUCGCAGCGCCCCUGGCGUCGGUGGGCCGGUGAACCCAGUGCCGUGGCCACGGCGGCGACGCCCCGGAG